rnacentral:rRNA from 1 species
AUGAAUGGUGUUUUGACAAAAGGUGGAAAGAAAUAUUUCAUGACGUUAAUUGAUGACUCCACUAGAUACUGUUGUGUGUAUCUUCUGAAAUCUAAGGAUGAGGCUUUGAACUUUUUCAAGAUCUAUAAAGCUGAAGUGGAAAACCAACUUGAUCAAAAAAUCAAGAGGCUUAGGUCCGACCGUGGUGGAGAGUAUUUUUCCAAUGAAUUUGACGCUUUUUGUGCGGAACAUGGUAUAAUCCAUGAGAGGACGCCUCCCUACUCACCUCAGUCAAAUGGGGUGGCCGAAAGAAAGAACCGUACUCUAACUGAUUUGGUUAACGCCAUGUUAGACACUUCGGGUCUCUCUAAGGCAUGGUGGGGGGAGGCGAUAUUGACAGCAUGUCAUGUCCUAAACCGAGUCCCCACAAAGAAGAAAGAGAUAACUCCAUUCGAGGAAUGGGAGAAGAAAAGGUUAAAACUCUCUUAUCUGCGAACAUGGGGUUGUUUAGCGAAAGUCAAUGUUCCAAUUCCAAAGAAGCGGAAGCUUGGACCAAAGACUGUGGAUUGUGUUUUCCUGGGAUAUGCUUUUCAUAGCAUUGGCUAUAGAUUCUUUGUUGUAAAAUCGGAGGUACCUGACAUGCAUGUCGGUACGAUCAUGGAGUCGAAUGAUGUGACUUUCUGUGAAGAUAUCUUUCCCAUGAAGGAUAUGGCUACCUCAUCUAAUCAGGAGAUGCCUAGUUCAUCAAAUCAGGAACCAGUUACAAUUACCAAACCUGCCAUUUCGAUGGAACACUUUGAAAGUCCUGUGGAGGAAAACAAUGAAGUUCCUACUAGGAGCAAGAGACAGAGGACUGCAAAGUCCUUUGGUGAUGAUUUUCUUGUGUAUCUCAUAGAUGACACUCCCAGUUCUAUUUCAGAGGCCUAUGCAUCUUAA